GGCGCAGGCGGCUUGUUAAGUCUGGAGUGAAAGCCCAGGGCUCAACCCUGGAAGGCCUUUGGAUACUGGCAAGCUAGAGUACGGGAGAGGAGAGCGGAAUUCCUGGUGUAGCGGUGAAAUGCGUAGAUAUCAGGAGGAACACCCGUGGCGAAAGCGGCUCUCUGGCCCGAUACUGACGCUGAGGCCCGAAAGCGUGGGGAGCGAACA
rnacentral:rRNA from 1 species